rnacentral:rRNA from 1 species
UACGAAGGGGGCUAGCGUUGCUCGGAAUUACUGGGCGUAAAGCGCACGUAGGCGGCUUUCUAAGUCGGGGGUGAAAUCCUGGAGCUCAACUCCAGAACUGCCUUCGAUACUGGAGAGCUCGAGUCCGGGAGAGGUGAGUGGAACUGCGAGUGUAGAGGUGAAAUUCGUAGAUAUUCGCAAGAACACCAGUGGCGAAGGCGGCUCACUGGCCCGGUACUGACGCUGAGGCGCGAUAGCGUGGGGAUCAAACAGG